rnacentral:rRNA from 1 species
GACUAUGGCCAUACCACGCUGAACACACCCAAUCUCAUCUAACCUCAGAAGCUAAGCAGGGUCAGGCCUGGUUAGUACUUGGAUAGGAGGAUUUGUCCAGUCCUAUAAGAGCUUGUGUCACAAGAAAGACCGUGGUCA